rnacentral:lncRNA from 1 species
AUGGACCCACCCCCCCCCAGCCCCCCAACAUUGCACUGGGCUCCCUGGGGCUCCCCCCACACCCCCGCGUGGCGUGGGGACAGCGCAGCCCCUCAGCAGCCCCCCCAAAUCCCCGGCCCCCCUCUCCCUGCUUCAGCCGGGGGCUGCAGGCGGCUGCUGACCCCGAGCCCCCCACCCAUCCCCCCCGUCCCCCCACGUUCGAUCUACCUCAAAGCCGCCGGGACAGGGGGUCCGCAGCACGGUCCCCCCUCACCGAGCCGCCCGCGCUGCAUGUCCCCCCGUGUCACAGCGCACAGCCCCACGCAAGGCCGGGGGCUCGGCCGGGCGCGCCCCCCCGCCCCACGCCGGGACCCCCGGGACCCCCGGGACCCCCGGGACCCCCGGGACGAGGGACGCGCCCUCGCUGCCGCCACCGACUCCAAUAAAACCUUCCCAGCGCCCGAAAUGCCUCGGGGGGGUGCAGGCCUCUCCUCUCUUGGGGUCCCUGGGGGAGGAGAGUGGGGGGGUCCAGCUGGGGGUGUCCCCCCGGGGAUGGGGUUGGGGUCGGGAGUGAGUUUGGGGCUCAGCUUGUGUCGCCGGGGUGGCCCUGGGGGUGACACGGGGUGGGGUGUCCUGCAGCUCCCGGAGCUUUUGGGGUCUAUCGGGCAGGUGAGUGACCCAAAAAGGGACAAUCAGAGGCAAAACAGAACUCACCGGGCUGGUGGUGACAGAAGGGACACGGCCGGAGCCGGGGUGGGGGGCGAUGGGUGGCGGGGUGGGGGGCGAUGGGUGACAGGGUGGGGGGAUUGUCCCGGUUUUCCUGGGGAAGGGGCUGGGCAGGGGGGGCUCUGUCCAUCCCUCCUCUGUGUUUUUGGAGGUCCUGCACCCCCUCCUGAGGGCUGGGGGGGUCGGGCCAGCGCUGCGGGACCCCCGGGUGGGGCAGCACCGGGCACGGAGCCCGGGCACGGACCCCGGGCACGGAGCCCCGGGCACGGAACCCCGGGCACGAAACCCCCGGGCACGGACCACCGGGAACGGAUCCCCGGGCACGGACCCCCGGGCACCGAACCCCGGGCACGGACCCCCGGCCACGGACCCCCGGGCACGGAACCCCCGGGGGGGCUGCGGGGGGGUCCCGUCCCGUCUCUCCGGGCCCAGCCCGGCCCCGGGCAGGGUGCGAGGGCGGUUCCCGGUGCCGAUGGUGUGAAGGAGAUAAGCCGCGGUGCCGCGGCCUUAUCGCCGCCCCAUCUCCGCCUCUGCCCGUGCCCGGGCAGGAAGAGCAGCCCCUGCCCACCCCCCGCGCCCCCCGGUGGGCACCGGCAGCUCCGGGGGGACCGAGGGGGAGGCAGAGCCGGGUGGGGGGGACACGGUGACCCCCCCCCGGGGUCGGGUCCCCAAACCACCCGCGUGGGGACGAGCCCCGGGGUGCGGCGGGGCUGUGACCGGGCUGUCCCCGGUUCGGACUGGGGUGGGGGCGCAGCGGGUCCUGCCCGCGCUCCGGGGGUGCCCCGGCCCCCCUUUUCUCCCUCCGCCCGCCUUUCCCCCCGGUUUUGUCUCUCUUUUUUUGAAAUCACGUGCUAA